AUUGAACGCUGGCGGCAUGCUUUACACAUGCCAGUCGAACGGCAGCGCGGGCUUCGGCCUGGCGGCGAGUGGCGAACGGGUGAGUAAUGCAUCUGAACGUGCCCAGUAGUGGGGGAUAGCCCGGCGAAAGCCGGAUUAAUACCGCAUACGACCUGAGGGUGAAAGCGGGGGACCGAAAGGCCUCGCGCUAUUGGAGCGGCCGAUGUCGGAUUAGCUAGUUGGUGGGGUAAAGGCUUACCAAGGCGACGAUCCGUAGCUGGUCUGAGAAGACGACCAGCCACACUGGGACUGAGACACGGCCCAGACUCCUACGGGAGGCAGCAGUGGGGAAUGUUGGACAAUGGGGGCAACCCUGAUCCAGCCAUGCCGCGUGCGGGAAGAAGGCCUUCGGGUUGUAAACCGCUUUUGUUCGGGAAGAAAUCCUCUGGGCUAAUACCCCGGGGGGAUGACGGUACCGGAAGAAUAAGCACCGGCUAACUACGUG
rnacentral:rRNA from 1 species